AAUCGGAUAUCCACGGGUUUACUA
rnacentral:siRNA from 1 species